UUUUGUGGGGUGCUCGAGUGGCGAACGGGUGAGUAACACGUGAGUAACCUGCCCUUGACUUUGGGAUAACUUCAGGAAACUGGGGCUAAUACCGGAUAGGAGCUCCUGCUGCAUGGUGGGGGUUGGAAAGUUUCGGCGGUUGGGGAUGGACUCGCGGCUUAUCAGCUUGUUGGUGGGGUAGUGGCCUACCAAGGCUUUGACGGGUAGCCGGCCUGAGAGGGUGACCGGCCACAUUGGGACUGAGGUACGGCCCAG
rnacentral:rRNA from 1 species